rnacentral:rRNA from 1 species
CCCUUAGACGUUCUGGGCCGCACGCGCGCUACACUGACGAAGGCAACGAGCUUUCCUUUACCGAAAGGUACGGGUAAUCUUUUGAAACUUCGUCGUGCUGGGGAUAGAUCCUUGCAAUUUUUGAUCUUAAACGAGGAAUGCCUAGUAAGCGCAAGUCAUCAACUUGCGUUGAUUACGUCCCUGCCCUUUGUACACACCGCCCGUCGUUACUACCGAUUGAAUGGUUUAGUGAGGCCUUCGGAUCCGCGACUCGUUUGUGGAGAAGUUGGACAAACUCAGUCAUUUAGAGGAAGUAAAAGUCGUAACA